AGGGGGGACUUAAAAAGUUGCUAACUCCCAAACCAUUGUGAACAUACCUUCAACGUUGCUUCGGCGGGUUGGCCCCGGUCUCCGGGGUCCCCGGCCCUACUCGGGCGCCCGCCGGAGGUAUCUAACUCUUGAACUUUUAUGGCCUCUCUGAGUCUUUGUACUUAAUAAGUCAAAACUUUCAACAACGGAUCUCUUGGUUCUGGCAUCGAUGAAGAACGCAGCGAAAUGCGAUAAGUAAUGUGAAUUGCAGAAUUCAGUGAAUCAUCGAAUCUUUGAACGCACAUUGCGCCCGCCAGUAUUCUGGCGGGCAUGCCUGUUCGAGCGUCAUUUCAACCAUCAAGCCCCCGGCUUGUGUUGGGGACCUGCGGCUGCCGCAGGCCCUGAAAACCAGUGGCGGGCUCGCUAGUCACUCCGAGCGUAGUAAUACAUCUCGCUCAGGGCGUGCUGCGGGUUCCGGCCGUUAAAAAGCCUUAUUUACCCAAGGUUGACCUCGGAUCAGGUAGGAAGACCCGCUGAACUUAAGCAUAUCAAUAAGCGGAGGAA
rnacentral:rRNA from 1 species